GUCCAGCUGAUGAAUCCUAAAUAGAACGAAACGCACUUUCUAGAU
rnacentral:hammerhead_ribozyme from 1 species